CCACUGCCGCGUGAGUGAUGAAGGACCUUCGGUUGGUAAAACUACUUUCGUACGGGGACGGAUAAUGACGGUACCCGUACGAAGAAGCUCCGGCUAACUUCGUGC
rnacentral:rRNA from 1 species